rnacentral:tRNA from 1 species
ACACGUAUAGCUUAGCUGGAAAAGCAGUGGCCUUCUAAGCCACCGACGCGGGUUCGAAUCCCGCUGCGUGCA